rnacentral:tRNA from 1 species
ACUUAAGUAAUUUAAUUAAAAAUGUUGAUUUGUGGUGUCAGAAAUAUGAAAUAUCAUCUUAGGUU